rnacentral:rRNA from 1 species
CCAAUAGCGUAUAUUAAAGUUGCUGCAGUUAAAAAGCUCGUAGUUGAAUUUCGGGACUAAUAUGUCGGUCGUGCCUCGGUACGUACUGGUUUAUUGGUUUCUCCUUUCUGAAGAACCAUGAUGUCAUUUAUUUGGUGUCGUGGGGAAUCCGGACUGUUACUUUGAAAAAAUUAGAGUGUUUAAAGCAGGCUCACGCUUGAAUACAUUAGCAUGGAAUAAUGAAAUAGGACGUUUGAUUCUAUUUUGUUGGUUUCUAGGAUCGACGUAAUGAUUAAUAGGGAUAGUUGGGGGCAUUAGUAUUCAAUUGUCAGAGGUGAAAUUCUUGGAUUUAUUGAAGACUAACUACUGCGAAAGCAUUUGCCAAGGAUGUUUUCAUUAAUCAAGAACGAAAGUUAGGGGAUCGAAGACGAUCAGAUACCGUCGUAGUCUUAACCAUAAACUAUGCCGACUAGGGAUCGGAUGAUGUUAAUUUUUUAAUGACUCAUUCGGCGCCUUACG